rnacentral:rRNA from 1 species
GGCGAACGGGUGAGUAAAGCAUCGGAACGUACCGUGUAGUGGGGGAUAACGUAGCGAAAGCUACGCUAAUACCGCAUAUUCUGUGAGCAGGAAAGCAGGGGAUCGCAAGACCUUGCGCUGAUUGAGCGGCCGAUAUCAGAUUAGCUAGUUGGUGAGGUAAAGGCUCACCAAGGCGACGAUCUGUAGCGGGUCUGAGAGGAUGAUCCGCCACACUGGAACUGAGACACGGUCCAGACUCCUACGGGAGGCAGCAGUGGGGAAUUUUGGACAAUGGGGGCAACCCUGAUCCAGCCAUGCCGCGUGAGUGAAGAAGGCCUUCGGGUUGUAAAGCUCUUUCAGCCGGGAAGAAAUCACAUGGGUUAAUACCCUGUGUGGAUGACGGUACCGGAAUAAGAAGCACCGGCUAACUACGUGCCAGCAGCCGCGGUAAUACGUAGGGUGCGAGCGUUAAUCGGAAUUACUGGGCGUAAAGCGUGCGCAGGCGGUUUGUUAAGAUAGGCGUGAAAUCCCCGGGCUCAACCUGGGAACUGCGUUUAUGACUGGCAGGCUAGAGUAUGGCAGAGGGGGGGGUGAUUCCACGUGUAGCAGUGAAAUGCGUAGAGAUGUGGAGAAACACCGAUGGCGAAGGCAGCCCCCUGGGCCAAUACUGACGCUCAUGCACGAAAGCGUGGGGUAGCAAACAGGAUUAGAUACCCUGGUAGUCCACGCCCUAAACGAUGUCAACUAGGUGUUGGGGUUGGGUAAAACCAUUUAGUACCGGAGCUAACGCGUGAAGUUGACCGCCUGGGGAGUACGGCCGCAAGGUUAAAACUCAAGGAAUUGACGGGGACCGCACAGCGGUGGAGGAUGGUGGAUUAAUUCGAUGCAACGCGAAAACCUUACCUACCCUUGACAUGUCCAGAAGCUCUUAGAGAUUUGAGUGUGCCCGAAAGGGAGCUGGAACACAGUGCUGCAUGGCUGUCGUCAGCUCUGUCGUGGAUGUUUGUGUUUAAGUCCCGCCAACGAGCGCAACCCCUACUCUCUGUUUGCUAUCAGGUAAUGACUGGGCAC